AACUGUUUGUGUGUUGUGUUUACUUUCUCGUAUUCAUUAGAUAAAUCUAUUUGAUUGUUCGUACUUAUAAUGCCAACAUGAAACUAUUUGAUAUAGUAUUCUUUUUAAUAUUUUUAUAUAUAUUAUAUAUUUAUAUUAUAUUAUAUAUUUCUAUAUAUUUUUUUUUAUAAAUGUAUGUAGAUCAAUCAUGUCAAGAAAGAAGAAAGAUACGAAUGAUAACUCA
rnacentral:lncRNA from 1 species